AAAUUCCACAGCAACACCUUAAACUUCAUAUGACAAACUUAACUCUUCUUCUGAAAUCCAAGAGGUUCACACGGGAGACAGGUUUGAUAGGCUAGGACUUAGUCAUGAUUUAUCAUUUUUGCUCUGGGCCAUGGCAAAGUAGGAAUGGAUUCUCUACUCAGUAAAAGAAGAAUCGAACUCAAGUAUCAAAAUGAAAAAGAAUGCUUGACUCUUCUGCUUUCAGACCUAGGAAGCAGUCCUCCUAUGCACAGUAUCACAGAGAUUCUCAGAAGGGGACAAGACUCCCAGGCUUCACUGUUGAAGUGGAAGAUGUCCCAAAUCCGAAGAAAAUACAGCUUGAAAAUCACAGUUAUUAGAUCAAUGGAAUAAACCUACCUCACACAG